rnacentral:rRNA from 1 species
UACGGAGGGGGCUAGCGUUGUUCGGAAUUACUGGGCGUAAAGCGCGCGUAGGCGGCUUUGUAAGUUAGAGGUGAAAGCCCGGAGCUCAACUCCGGAACUGCCUUUAAGACUGCAUCGCUAGAAUCAUGGAGAGGUGAGUGGAAUUCCGAGUGUAGAGGUGAAAUUCGUAGAUAUUCGGAAGAACACCAGUGGCGAAGGCGGCCCGCUGGGCAGUGGCUGACGCUGAGGCGCGACAGCGUGGGGAGCAAACGAGG